CCAGGACCCAGUGGACUUCCAGGUGGAAAUGGAUUUCGGGGUCCUCCUGGACCUUCUGGUCUGCCAGGAUUCCCAGGGCCUCCUGGACCACCUGGACCUCCCGGUCUUGCAGGCAUCAUUCCCGAAGGCGGUGGGGACCUUCAGUGCCCAGCUCUGUGCCCACCAGGUCCUCCUGGUCCUCCAGGAAUGCCAGGCUUCAAGGGACACACUGGUCACAAAGGAGAACCUGGUGAAAUAGGCAAAGAAGGAGAGAAGGUAAACUUCAAUCUAAGGGGUGGGGAGGGACUUUGGUACUUAAAAACACCACAGCAAACAGUUUUAUUGAGGAG
rnacentral:lncRNA from 1 species